UACGAAGGGGGCUAGCGUUGCUCGGAAUCACUGGGCGUAAAGGGUGCGUAGGCGGGUCUUUAAGUCAGGGGUGAAAUCCUGGAGCUCAACUCCAGAACUGCCUUUGAUACUGAGGAUCUUGAGUCCGGGAGAGGUGAGUGGAACUGCGAGUGUAGAGGUGAAAUUCGUAGAUAUUCGCAAGAACACCAGUGGCGAAGGCGGCUCACUGGCCCGGUACUGACGCUGAGGCGCGAAGGCUAGGGGAGCAAACGGG
rnacentral:rRNA from 1 species